AAUGAACGCUGGCGGCGCGCCUAAUACAUGCAAGUCGAGCGAGAAGACGUAGCAAUACGUUUGUAAAGCGGCGAACGGGUGAGGAAUACAUGGGGUAACCUACCCUCGAGUGGGGAAGUAACUAGCCGAAAGGUUAGCUAAUACCGCGUACGCUUCUUGGACUUCGGUUCAGGGAGGAAAGCGAUGCCGAGGGUAUCGCGCUCUUGGAUGGGCUCAUGUCCUAUCAGCUUGNGGUUGAGGUAACGGCUCACCAAGGCUUCGACGGGUAGCUGGUCUGAGAGGACGAUCAGCCACACUGGCACUGCGACACGGGCCAGACUCCUACGGGAGGCAGCAGUAAGG
rnacentral:rRNA from 1 species